CCUACGGGAGGCAGCAGUGAGGAAUAUUGGUCAAUGGUCGGCAGACUGAACCAGCCAAGUCGCGUGAGGGAAGACGGCCCUACGGGUUGUAAACCUCUUUUGUCGGAGAGUAAAGUACGCUACGUGUAGCGUAUUGCAAGUAUCCGAAGAAAAAGCAUCGGCUAACUCCGUGC
rnacentral:rRNA from 1 species